rnacentral:lncRNA from 1 species
AUGGGACAGUCACAUGGCCCGUGGACCCAGGUGUCCAGCCUCAGGAGGCCGAGGCCAGGAGACCCGAGGGGCGGGCCUGGCCUGAGCGUCUUCCCACACGGGGGUGUGUGUGUGGGGGUGUACACCAGCCCACAUUCUAAGGAUCUUCCCAGCAUCCUCUUCCUGUGGGGUCUGCACCUGCUGCAGGCAGGCGGGGGGUGUGGUCCUGGGGGGCGCAGAGGCGUCAGGCUCAGGGCAGGGCCUGGCUGUCUACACUUCAGCCCACUCAGAGCUGGGCAGUGCCUCGGGGCCAGGGGCUCCGGGGCAGAGAACACUCAGAGACCCCAGCCCGGUCCUCCCGUCCUCAGCGGCCUGAGGAGCCGCGUCUGCAGCUUCUCCCCCCGAACCCGGGGACACGGCAGAGAGUGUGCAGGCGGCGGUGGCGGCUCAGGAGGGGUUUCUUCAGCCUCCCGCCUCGCAGAUGGCUCAGGAAGCAGAGAAGAGGCUGCACAGAGGCUUCAGCAGGGACUUUUUAAGGUUCUCAUAGUGAAAUGGGGUGUGAAUUAGAGCGUGCACCGCCUGGAUCUGCUUGAGAGCGGGCAAGGGCUGGCAUCUUCCCGGGGUUUCUGCAGGCUCCUCUGGGCACGGCCUGCUGGCGUCUGGAGCAAGCAGGGCUUGGCAGGAAGCAAGACCAGGCUCACAGUUAAAGAGGAGGAAUGUACAAGUUUGGGGAAAUUGGAGUAGGCUGGAAGCAGGGCCCUGGGAUCGACCCCUGGGGUGGGGGGAACAGAUGCCAGCCUACCCACCAGAGCAGAUCUUCCUGCCCAGCCCUUGACCAGGGCCCCAGAAGAUUCUCGGUGACGACAAAUGAUAGCUGCCAGACCCACCCACCCGCCUGGCACACCUGGACGCUGCAGGAAGGCCAGCAUGGCCACACCUCAGCAGAGAGAGGUGUGCCUCACUUGUGGCCACCAGAUCUCCCUCCGUGCGUGGAGAUCACAAACAGAACCCUGGUGGAGAGGAGUCUUGGGACCCAUGUGUGUGUUUUUGCUUUUUUUUUUUUUUUUUUUUUUUUUUUUUUUUUUUUUUGGAAACUUCCCAGGCCAGGGAUCAAACUGAGCUGCAGCUGCAACCUAUGACACAGCUGCAGCCACACUGGCUUCUUAACCCACUGUGCAGGGAUCAAAGCCACAUCACCACAGAGACAACACCUGAUCCUUAAUCCACAUCAGGGACUCCAGAAACUGUGUUUUUAAGGAUCCCUCCUCUGCAUGACAGGAUGGCCCCUUAGGAGACCCUGAGUGAUAAGGACACCAUUUACCGUUCCCUCCAAAAGACCCUUUGCUUGCUUUCUACCUGGCUGUUGUUUCUUAUUGAUUUCCGGGAGCUCUUUAUAUAUUGUAGACGCUGAGAGGUUGUUUAUAAUAUCACCUCUAACUAUUUGUAAGGUUUUCUUUUUUUUUUUUCUUUGUCUUUACAGGAUUUUAUUUUAUUUUUUUUAUUACUCAAAUGAAUUUAUCACAUCUGUAGUUGUAUAAUGAUCAUAACAAUCCGAUUUCACAGGAUU